UACGAAGGGGGCUAGCGUUGUUCGGAAUUACUGGGCGUAAAGCGCACGUAGGCGGAUUUGUAAGUCAGGCGUGAAAUUCCCGGGCUCAACCUGGGGGCUGCGCUUGAGACUGGUUGGCUAGAGGCCGAGAGAGGGUGGUGGAAUUCCCAGUGUAGAGGUGAAAUUCGUAGAUAUUGGGAAGAACACCGGUGGCGAAGGCGGCCACCUGGCUCGGUACUGACGCUGAGGCGCGACAGCGUGGGGAGCAAACAGG
rnacentral:rRNA from 1 species